CUUCAAUAUUCUGUCAAAAUGCCAUUUUCUUUCUUUAAUUUCCUUGCUUGGUCCCAUAUCUUGAUUCUCAAAAUGAACACACCAUCAUUUUUCAUGGCCAUUUGGUCCUCCAAUUAACACACACCAAACACCAAAACAUACCUUCUUUCUCUGUGUGUGUGGUAUGUCUAUAUAUCACUCCCACCAUCAAAUGCUGAGAAGGUGUAUUUCACACAAGAGUCAUAACUCUCAUCAACUAGAAAUUUCCCAAAACCAUAUUGCGUCUACUCUUUAUAGAAUCACAAACUCAAUAAUAAGAAGUCCUUCUCUUAUUCAAUCAAUCACAAAUCAUAAAGUCACACCUUAUGCAUCACAAUAUGCAUUCAUAUAUAUAGGGACUAACAAUUUCCUAUUCCCAUUAUAUUUCCUAAUCCUUAAGAUAAACACAACAUAGAAAAGGAAACUUUCAUCACAAGUAUUAUUCAAGCUUAUCCAACAUUCUCCCUCUUAAGCUUGAUGCCAUCUUCACUCACAUCUUGUACUCCAAUAAGCUUUCUCAUUUCCUUAAACUUUAUUCUUCCAAGCGACUUCGUAAGGAUAUCAGCUUUCUGUUCACUACCCGGGACAUGUUCAACUUCAACUUGUUCCUUUUCAACACACUCUCUUAUGAAGUGAAACCUCCUGUGUAUGUGUUUACUUCGUCCAUGGAACACUGGGUUCUUUGUAAGUGCAAUAGCAGACUUGUUAUCAACCAUGAUGACCACCGGUUUACUUUCGCUUCCAACGGCUUCACUUAGCAACUCCUGAAGCCAGAUAGCCUGCUUUGCUGCCUCAGUUGCAGCCAUAAAUUCAGCCUCGCAUGACGACAAUGCUACUAUCUCCUGCUUCGUUGAGCUCCAUGUAAUGGGACUCUCCCCAAGAUAGAAUAUGUGUCCUGAAGUGCUUUUGCCGUCGUCUGUAUCCACAUUGUGGGAGCUGUCACUAUAACCUACCAGCUUAGCUCCGCUUUGUCGUGAGUAGUGAAGCCCAAGAGAACAAGUUCCUCGCAGAUACCUAAGGAUCUGUUUCAUAGCUGCUGCAUGAGAGGCUUUAGGUUCGUGCAUAUAUCUGCUCAAAACCCCAACGCUAUAUGAUAAAUCUGGUCGCGUAUGUAGCAGGUAGCGUAGGCACCCAAUGCUCCGACGAUACUCUUUUGCAUCAGCCUUUUCUUCCUUAGGAGCUUUGGAGAACAUCGCAUUUAACUCCAAUGGUACUUGAGUCGGAUUGCAUGAGCUCAUGCCAGUUUCUUCGAGUAUUUUGCGAGCAUACCUAUCUUGUUUGAGUAAGAUUCCUCCUUCAUAUUGUAUAACCUCAAUACCCAAAUAGUAUGUCAACCUUCCGAGGUCACUCAUCUCAAACUUUGUAGCCAUCUCACGUUUGAAUUCAAGUAUCGCAUCAAGGGAGGUACCAGUAACCAGCAGGUCAUCAACAUAGACCACCACGACAAGAACUUCUCGACUUUCUUCCUUCCGAUAGAGUGAGGGCUCUUUCGAGCAUCUUGUGAACCGCAAGCUGCGCAAUAUCUCAUUAAGCUUUAUAUUCCAAGCUCUUGGUGCUUGUCGUAGACCGUAGAGAGCUUUCUUAAGCUUGUAAACCUUGUGUUCUUGUCCAUCAACGAUGAAACCCUCUGGUUGAGUAACAUAAACCUCUUCCUUUAGUUCUCCGUGCAAGAAAGCAGUUUUUACAUCAAGGUGGUGUAUUUCCCAACCGUGUGAUCCAGCCAAAGCAAUGAUCAUCCUAAUAGUUUCAAUGCGAGCCACCGGAGCAAAUACUUCUUCAUAAUCCACACCAUGCCGUUGAACGUAACCUUUGGCUACUAGUCGUGCCUUAUACUUACUUAUUGUUCCAUCAGCAUUACGUUUGAUCUUGAACACCCACUUAAGGCCGAUAGGUUUGAUUCCUGUAGGUAGUUCCACGAGAUCCCAGGUUUUAUUUUUUUCAAUAGAUACGAUCUCAUCUUUGCAAGCAUCAACCCAAACUUUCAGUUCCUUAGCAUCGCUGAAACUCCAUGGUUCCUCAUUUAUGAGCAUCAACAAUUGCUCACCCUCAAGUUCUGCGAGCAGAACAUAGUCAUCGAGGUAGGUUGGUUUGUUAGAAACCCUCGUUGAUCGUCUUGGCUGAAAGUCGUUUUCAUCGUCACCCCCAACUUGAUUUUCAUCAUCAUGAUUAUCAAGAGCUUCAUGAUAAUCAUUAUUGUCGUGAUUAUCAUCAUCUGUAUCAGAUGAAGCUUCGAGUUCGUGAUCAUCUUGGCCCAAGCCUUUCACGGUGAGCUCAAAGCCCUCACUAUCGAGUCUCGUUGUCACACUUUUAUCACUCCAUCUCCAUCGCAUUGCUUCUUCGAACACAACAUCACGACUUAUGACAAUUCUCAAGCUCAGGGGAUCAAGUAGUCGGUAUGCUUUAGACCCCGGCUCUGUUCCGAGAUGGACCAGAACUCUGGAUCUAUCGUCGAGCUUCUUUCUUCCAACCGUUUCUGUCCUUGCGUAGCACACGCACCCGAACACUCUUAGGUGAGACAGGUUUGGUUUUCUUCCUUUCAUCACUUCGUACGGAGUUUGUCCUUCCAAGGACCUCGUUGUAACCCUAUUAAUCAGAUAGGUUGCAUGUCGUAUGGCUUCUCCCCAGAGAUGAUUCGGCAUGUCCAUAUGUUUUAGGAUACUUCUAGUCAUCUCCAAGAGUGUUCGAUUUCGUCGCUCAACUACACCGUUUUGCUGAGGUGAAUAUGGCGCAGUCAUGUGUCGCUUAACACCAUGUUUCUCGCAGUAGGUUUGGAAUUCGUUGGAUGUGAACUCACCCCCCCUAUCUGUUCGUAAUGUCAUUAACUUAGUAUGUGUUUCUUGCUCCACAAGGUUCUUGAAGCGCUUAAAUUUCUCAAAGGCUUCACUUUUGACCUUUAAUAGUACUGUCCACAUAUAGCGAGAGUGAUCGUCAAUAAGAACAAAGACGUAUCUGUUGAGUGCUGGUGUCGUCGGGGAGAUAGGUCCACAAAGAUCCGCAUGUACGAGUUCAAGAAGUGAUGAAGCUCGAUAGCUCGUUGCUUGUGGGAACGGUUUUCGUGUUUGUUUCCCGCGCAGACAAGAUACACAAGCUUCUGUGUCGCGUUUGAUGUUCGGUAAUCCCUCGACAUACUCCUUGCUAGCCAUCAUUCUCAUUGUAUCUUUGUUGAUAUGUCCCAAGCGCGCAUGCCAUAAGUUUCCGUCUCCAAGGCUCUUAACCUGAAGACACUGCUGCAUUUUAUCAACCUGUAAUGUAACCUUAUAUAAUCGAUUCUUUGUCCUUGUAGUCUUGAUCAUCAACUGUCCUUCACGAUCGAAUAAAGUUAGAACGUCUUCUUUCAUUCGAACUUCACAACCCACUUCAGUAGCUUGACCCAAGCUAACAAUAUUACUUCGAAGAGCCGGUAUGUAGUAGACGUUAUUUAACAUCUUUUUCACGCCUCCUUUGCUGAUAAAUCGAAUGGAACCUUUACCCAUUAUGUCAAUCCUUGAAUCAUCGCCAAAACGUACUUUCCCAGUGAUAGUAUCAUCUAGUUCGUAGAAGAACAUACGAUUACCACUCAUGUGAUUACUGGCUCCAUUAUCAAGAUACCACACAUCUAUCGUAUCUGUAUCAGCUUCAAACUUCUUUGGAUCUACCUUCUUCUCGUUUAAGUAAACUACUUCAUUCAUCAUGAGGGUAUCCGCCUCGUGUGUAUCAUCAUCUUUCUUCUCUACAGUUUCUUGAAGCUUUAGAGCUUUAUCGGGACAGUCUGUGGCGUAAUGUCCAGUUUUAUCACAUUUAAAGCAAGUGAUAUGAGAGAGAUCUCCACCACGUCCUUGUCUAUACGCUUCUCGUUGUUGUAAGAAAGUUGUGCGACCGCGGCCUCUUCCUCUCCAGUUUGAUCGACCGCUGCGUCCUCGACCACGGUUAUUGUAGCCGUAAGUUUCGCCGCUUGAAUCUGAGUUAGCAUACAUUAGCUUCCCGGAGCUGUCAUCGGUUUCUUCUUCCUCUUCAGUGACUCUUUCUUCGUACGCCUUAAGUCGUCCUACAAUGUCCUCAAAGCUCGUUGAGUUAAGGUCAAGAACUUGCUCAAGCGAAGCUACAAUAUGAAUAAAUUUUUUUCUUGGCAAGCUCUUUAAGAAUUUCUUAACAAGCUUUGGUUCUUCUAUCAUCUCUCCCAAAGAAGCAGAUUUAGAAGAAAUUUCGGAUAUCUUGCCAACGAAGGUAUCGAUUGUAUCUUCAUCUUUCAUCUUGAGUCUAUCGAAAUCCGCCAUCAAAGUUUGUAACCUAGCUUCUUUUACCCUCUCAGCUCCAACAUAUCGUGCCUUUAUCGCAUCCCAUACUGCCUUUGCUGUAUCUAAGUCGCCUACUUGUAAGAUCAAGGCCUCCGGUAUGGACUGGAACAGGUAUGCGAUGGCCAUGUUAUUCUUUUUUUCAUCCUUAGCUCCAGGUUCUAUAGCUUCCCAAACUUCACUAACUUUAAGCGCUAUCUUCAUUCUCAUGGACCAGACCGUGUAGUUCGAGGAAGUUAACAUUGGAAAUUUGAUGGUGGCUGGUCCGGUUUCUUUGGUCGUCGCGAUCUCUUCUUUGACGUCGGCCAUGGCUGUGUAAGAUUGUCGAGGUGCUUAUUAAGCUCUGAUACCAAAUAUAGAAUCACAAACUCAAUAAUAAGAAGUCCUUCUCUUAUUCAAUCAAUCACAAAUCAUAAAGUCACACCUUAUGCAUCACAAUAUGCAUUCAUAUAUAUAGGGACUAACAAUUUCCUAUUCCCAUUAUAUUUCCUAAUCCUUAAGAUAAACACAACAUAGAAAAGGAAACUUUCAUCACAAGUAUUAUUCAAGCUUAUCCAACACUCUUCUUCUUCUUUAUGUUGGAUAUCGAAUCUGUUUCCGUUCAAAAGAAACAAACCAUGAGCAUUAUUUCUUCCACAAAAACCCAAUGUUUAC
rnacentral:lncRNA from 1 species